rnacentral:lncRNA from 1 species
CCUCUAUUAUUUAUUCUGUAAAGUAUGGGAACUGAACCUCAAAAGAAGGUUUUUGUCAGUUUGACAAUGCAUAGUAAAAUAAUUGCCUUUUAAAUUCAUUCCUUAGAAGAAGCAAAAAGAAGAAAAGAAGUUCCAGAAAAGAAAGCUAUUCAUGAAGUUAAAACAAAAGGUACUACCUUAUUUUAAAAUGUGGCAGUUAAUUUACCCACUCUUCAGAGACCUCUGCCUAUUAUAAUUCCUAAAGAAAUAGAAAUAAAAAUAAUUUAUGGUUCGUGUCUUAGAAGCAGAAGAAAGAAAAAAGGUAACUCACAAGAAGAAAAUUAUUCCUGAAAUUAAAGGGAAAGCUUUGGAACAGGAAAAGAAGGUAACCCAAGAGAAGAAAGCUAUUUCUGAAACAAAAAUUAAAGGGGGAAAAGAAGAAAGAAAGAAAGCUCUUGAGAAAACAGCUGUCCCUGAAGUUAAAAAGGCAGAACCAGAAAAAGCUCCUGCAGCCCAUCCAGCUUCUGUGAAGGUAGCUGUGCGAGAACCAUUCAAGAAAGAAAAGCCAGUCGAAAGAGCCAAGCAGCCAGUGAAGGAUGUGCCUGUAAAAGCAUCAGUUACACAAGAAACUCAUAAACCAAAAGAAACAGAACUAACCAAAAUAGAACCUGCUGCCCAUUUGACUAAAAAAGCAGUACAUGAAAAGAAAGAAGACAGAUUAUUAAAGGCAGUGGAGCAAGACAAACCAAAAUCCAAAGAAACAAAAGAUAUCAGAGGGAAAGAAGCAAAACAUGUGGCACCAAAAGUCAAAGAGGCAGUAAAACCAAAGGAAGUAAAGCCUACCAUUCCCCAGAAGCAGAAAGGACAAGAGGUUCUUAAGCACGACAAAGGAGCUCCUCAAGGAAAGCCAGAAGAAAUCACAGUAGCAGAUAAGAAAAAAGCAGAAAAGCCUUUGAAGGAAAAAGACAGAAAAAUGGCAGCGGUGACUCAUUUGAAAGAAGAAAAAGCCAAGGUCCCAGCAGUAAAAGAAUCCCAUCACCAUCGUAACAUGACAACAGACAAGCUUUCAAAGGCUUCAAAAGCAACAGCUGCUGUCCGCUACUAUCAGUGUGUCUUUGUAAAUGGAUACAAUGACUACAAACCGCAACACCCUGUUACCCCUGCCCAGGACUACAAAGGAAAGGCCGGGCAGACAAAAAAUUCUGGGCACAAGAUCAAGACACUGAAACAAUAG